rnacentral:rRNA from 1 species
AUUGAACGCUGGCGGCAUGCUUUACACAUGCAAGUCGAACGGUAACAGGCCGCAAGGUGCUGACGAGUGGCGAACGGGUGAGUAAUGCAUCGGAACGUGCCCAGUCGUGGGGGAUAACUACUCGAAAGAGUAGCUAAUACCGCAUACGAUCUAUGGAUGAAAGCGGGGGACCGUAAGGCCUCGCGCGAUUGGAGCGUCCGAUGUCAGAUUAGGUAGUUGGUGGGGUAAAGGCUCACCAAGCCAACGAUCUGUAGCUGGUCUGAGAGGACGACCAGCCACACUGGGACUGAGAAACGGCCCAGACUCCUACGGGAGGCAGCAGUGGGGAAUUUUGGACAAUGGGCGAAAGCCUGAUCCAGCAAUGCCGCGUGAAGGAAGAAGGCCUUCGGGUUGUAAACUGCUUUUGUACGGAACGAAACGGCUCUGGUUAAUACCCGGGGAUAAUGACGGUACCGUAAGAAUAAGCACCGGCUAACUACGUG